rnacentral:tRNA from 1 species
AAGAUUUUAAGUUAAAUAAAACUAUUAACCUUCAAAGUUAAAUAUAAUAAAAUGUAUAUAUUAAAUCUUA